rnacentral:rRNA from 1 species
GAUAACUACUGGAAACGGUAGCUAAUACCGCAUAACGUCGCAAGACCAAAGAGGGGGACCUUCGGGCCUCUUGCCAUCGGAUGUGCCCAGAUGGGAUUAGCUUGUUGGUGGGGUAACGGCUCACCAAGGCGACGAUCCCUAGCUGGUCUGAGAGGAUGACCAGCCACACUGGAACUGAGACACGGUCCAGACUCCUACGGGAGGCAGCAGUGGGGAAUAUUGCACAAUGGGCGCAAGCCUGAUGCAGCCAUGCCGCGUGUAUGAAGAAGGCCUUCGGGUUGUAAAGUACUUUCAGCGGGGAGGAAGGGAGUAAAGUUAAUACCUUUGCUCAUUGACGUUACCCGCAGAAGAAGCACCGGCUAACUCCGUGCCAGCAGCCGCGGUAAUACGGAGGGUGCAAGCGUUAAUCGGAAUUACUGGGCGUAAAGCGCACGCAGGCGGUUUGUUAAGUCAGAUGUGAAAUCCCCGGGCUCAACCUGGGAACUGCAUCUGAUACUGGCAAGCUUGAGUCUCGUAGAGGGGGGUAGAAUUCCAGGUGUAGCGGUGAAAUGCGUAGAGAUCUGGAGGAAUACCGGUGGCGAAGGCGGCCCCCUGGACGAAGACUGACGCUCAGGUGCGAAAGCGUGGGGAGCAAACAGGAUUAGAUACCCUGGUAGUCCACGCCGUAAACGAUGUCGACUUGGAGGUUGUGCCCUUGAGGCGUGGCUUCCGGAGCUAACGCGUUAAGUCGACCGCCUGGGGAGUACGGCCGCAAGGUUAAAACUCAAAUGAAUUGACGGGGGCCCGCACAAGCGGUGGAGCAUGUGGUUUAAUUCGAUGCAACGCGAAGAACCUUACCUGGUCUUGACAUCCACGGAAGUUUUCAGAGAUGAGAAUGUGCCUUCGGGAACCGUGAGACAGGUGCUGCAUGGCUGUCGUCAGCUCGUGUUGUGAAAUGUUGGGUUAAGUCCCGCAACGAGCGCAACCCUUAUCCUUUGUUGCCAGCGGUCCGGCCGGGAACUCAAAGGAGACUGCCAGUGAUAAACUGGAGGAAGGUGGGGAUGACGUCAAGUCAUCAUGGCCCUUACGACCAGGGCUACACACGUGCUACAAUGGCGCAUACAAAGAGAAGCGACCUCGCGAGAGCAAGCGGACCUCAUAAAGUGCGUCGUAGUCCGGAUUGGAGUCUGCAACUCGACUCCAUGAAGUCGGAAUCGCUAGUAAUCGUGGAUCAGAAUGCCACGGUGAAUACGUUCCCGGGCCUUGUACACACCGCCCGUCACACCAUGGGAGUGGGUUGCAAAAGAAGUAGGUAGCUUAACCUUCGGGAGGGCGCUUACCACUUUGUGAUUCAUGACUGGGGUGAAGUCGUAACAAGGUAACCGUAGGGGAACCUGCGGUUGGAUCACCUCCUUACCUUAAAGAAGC